GUGCUGCACGGGAUGCGGAACCCCCUACCACCCCAGCGGCGCAUCCGGGCAAAUUCCACCCCGGGGGUUCCAAAUGAUCGAGCGGCAUUGCAAACGGGGGAGUGCCGGGACGCGCACCCCACCCUCAUGGGCUUCCCGCGGUGGUUGGCCGAGCCUCGCAUCCCGCAUGUGGGGGACAUACGUCGGAGCGGCCGGGUCGCGCAUCCCGUUUCGAUGGCCCGAGCCGGGGCAGAAUCGGGAUGCGGAACCCCCUACCACCCCAGCGGGGCAUCCUGGCAAAUCCCACCCGGGGGGUUCCAAAUGACCGAGCAGCAUUGCAAACGGGGCA
rnacentral:lncRNA from 1 species